rnacentral:precursor_RNA from 10 species
ACCCUUCGAUGUCUUUCUAGUCUUAUUGAUUUUUGAUUGCUGCUCAGAAAGUCUUUCAAAACAAAUGACAUUUGAGCUUCAAUCAAACAUCGACCAAGACAUUCAACUGCAUCUGAUCAG